UACGUAGGUGGCAAGCGUUGUCCGGAUUUACUGGGCGUAAAGGGCGUGCAGGCGGUCUGUUAAGUUCAGGGUGAAAGCUCCCGGCUCAACUGGGAGAGGUCCUUGGAUACUGGCAGACUUGAGGGAGGUAGAGGAGAGUGGAAUUCCCGGUGUAGUGGUGAUAUGCGCAGAUAUCAGGAGGAACACCAAUUGCGAAGGCAGCUCGCUGGGACGUUACUGACGCUGAGACGCGAAAGCGUGGGGAGCAAACAGG
rnacentral:rRNA from 1 species